rnacentral:rRNA from 1 species
UACGGAGGGUGCAAGCGUUAAUCGGAAUUACUGGGCGUAAAGCGCACGUAGGUGGUUUGUCAAGCCAGCUGUGAAAUCCCCGGGCUCAACCUGGGCACUGCAGUUGGAACUGGCAAGCUAGAGUAGGGUAGAGGGGUGUGGAAUUCCAGGUGUAGCGGUGGAAUGCGUAGAUAUCCGGAAGAACACCGGUGGCGAAGGCGGUGGUCUGGACCAAAACUGACGCUGAGGAGCGAAAGCCAGGGGAGCAAACGGG